rnacentral:lncRNA from 1 species
AUAGACAUAAUAUCUACCCUUUGCAUGUAUAGUUACCCGCCCUUUUUCACUAGCUAUCCCUAGAAGUUUAUUACAAAUUAUUAUAACCCAAAAUAAAGUAAAAGAAUACAUCAGAAAUUGAAAGUACAAUCAAGGAUAUCCUAAUUCAGACUUCAUGUCUGAAAUAUGAGUUAAACCAACUCCAAGAGAUCAUGAUCCAAAGCCAUUCUCACAUUUGGAUGUGUCAAUGUUCCCUAAGAGCCUCAAAGGGGACUUCGUGCAAUACUCAUACCCAAAUACGUUAUCAGAUUAGUACAAGUACAGUGUGGAAAGGCCAGCCCUCAAGUGUCCAAGUUUAGAGGGAACUCAAGGUCCCAAGGCAAGGCUCACAAGAAGGGAGAAGAACUUAGAGACUAAGAGAGAGUGCAAGUAAAAAAGUAUAAUUCUAAGAGGGGAAAAAGGGAAAGGAGAGGGAGAUAAGUACACAUAAGCGAAACUUAGAGACUAAGAGAGAGUGCAAGUGCAGAAGUAGAAUUUUGAGAGGGGAAAAGGGAAAGGAGAGGGAGAUAAGUACACAUAAGGGGUUCAAGGGGGAUAGGAAAUUUGAAAGAGCAAGGACAGGCUGUGGGCAUGCCCAGCAAUGGAGAAUUCUAAAAUACCCAUAAGCCUGUUAGAACACACUAUUAGAGGCUAGGAUCCCAAGGGAUCAUGUUUAAUUCAUGGAAUAAUUUGCAUAUUGUCAUGUCUUAAGCCAUAGAUCAAACAUAUAAGGGGUAGGGGUUUUGGGAUUCAUAAUAGAAAAAAGCAGAAAGAAAUCAACAUGCUAAUUUGAGUGUUGGAACUAUACAGAAAUAACAAGUAGACAUGGAUACAAAAGCAGUAAAUAAACCCAUUGUUGUGGUGCAUAAGCUUAAAUCAGAACAUACCAAUUUCAAAAAAGCAAGUAGAGGAAAGCAGUAGGUCUUGUGAACAAGCCAUAGUGCAGACAAGAAGAGAGAAUACUAUUGUGUACAAAUGUAAGUUCAGAAAGACUAUGACUGUCCUAUUGUUAAUGAAAGAGUCGUGCAUUUAUAGUAUGAAAAUCACGCAGAAAUAAGGUAAGAAAAU